AUUUAUGUUCGCUGUCUUCAUUAUGUGUAUAAACAAUGUCUAAAGUAUUAUUUUAUGUUAAUGAUUAAUAGUUUCAAACUAUUGAGAAAUAAUUCAAAAAAAUAAAAAGAAAAAAAGAACAAGAACAAAUUGAGAUAGCAAAACCAUAGUAUCUUGCUCAUUUAAAGUUUAGCCCUAGAGAAUAUCAAUGCCCUCUGGGCCUUGAGACAAGUGUGCAAACAAUUUAAAAAUUGAACCAAAGUUUUGCUUACUAAUUAUUGCAAAAGGCGGUCAUGUCCGAAUAUUAUAUGGGUAAAACAAAAGAAAGAAGUUAAAGUAUUAAGAAUGUCACAACAGUGUCAGUUAUGUCAAAAACACCGAUCAAUUUAACGCAAGGGGUAAGUGAACGAAAAACAACAAAAACAAUAUUGGAGACAAGAUGGAAAAGUAUGCCACGGACAAUUCAAAUAAUUACAGCACGCCGCAUGAAAAUGCCUCAUAAUCUGUUUCAAAGCGUUUGACUCCGGUAUAAUGAAAAGCUACACCAACAAUGAUAGCUAUAUGCCAUAUUUGGUGACUAUUGCCAAUGAUAUCGAAUUUUCCAGGAAGAAAUCUUUCUGGUAUGUGCAACCCGUAAAAAAGCACUCCAAUGAUGUAACUGAAAAUGGAUUUGAAAACUGGAUCCAAAUACUUAACCGUGCGCCGAGUGCCCUUAAUGUAAAACAUUGUUAUCAUGGGUAUUAAACCACUACAGGCUAGCCCCACAAAGAAGAAGAUCUUAACAGAACGAUAUUUGUACUCAUUAAACCACUUUUUCCAAGGGGUAUAAAUACCAAUGAGGCCCAGGGUACCGGUGAAAGCGAUAAAUAUAAAUCUUAACGGACCUUGGCAUACGAAUGCAUGGUAUUCGACAGAUAUAAUAGAAGCAGCUAUCAGUGCCGAAAUGCCAACAUAAUCCAUGCAAGCAGCACAACGCAUGUGCUUGUAGUUAGAAAGACUUGAAAAUGUAUGCCAAAUAACCGAACAUCCCAAACACUUCAUUGCAGAAAGUAAGAAGAAAAUACGGACUAUACGAUUGGAGACGUUAGAAGAAACCCAGGAUGAGGAAGAAGGAUAAAAGUAGGCUAAGACGGCGAAAAACACAAUAAAAGCAGAAAGAUGUGUCCAUAUAUUGAAAGUUUCAUUGUGCCAAGAAAGGAUGGAUCGAAAGCAUUUUCGUUUACUCGUGUAAAAACGAUAUCCUCUAAUGAUAUAGGGAUUGUUAUGCCACUGAACUGGCAAUUCUUCUAGUGUGAUUAAUCGUUGUGCGCCCAAUUUGGCGGCGUGCUCAACAACGUCUUUGAUGUCGGUCAUCAAAGUCUCCACAUUGUUUUUGGAUUUCUCAGCAUAAUCCUCUAAAUCACGUAGAUGAUGCUCUAAGAACGUCAAGGCCUUUUGCGCUUUGGCGGGAAACGUAUCACAGGCACUUAAAACAUCAUUGUAUGUUUCUUCGAUUCGACGAAGGAUAAACGAAACCUGGGUCUUUCCUAGGAUGGUAGUUCCAAGAAAGGAAGCUUGAAGAUUUGCCAAGAACUGGUAAGUUGCAGCAGCCGCAUCUUUCCGGUUUGGCAAACCCAACUCUUCAAGCCUUUUCAUCCGAUGAUUAAGGCGUGUCAAAAAAAGGUCAAGCUUUAAAACAAUAAAUUCUUCUAAAACAUCAUCUUCCUCAUCUCUCACUUGGUAGGAUGAAUGUCUGCGACUAAGCAAUCGCUUUUUAAACCCUUCGGUUUCCGUCGAAGAGAACGUUUUGACGGUCGACAUUGAGCAAUAUUUCUAAUUGUUCUUAAUAA
rnacentral:lncRNA from 1 species